rnacentral:tRNA from 1 species
GCGCUAUUAGCUCAGUUGGUAGAGCACCUGACUCUUAAUCAGGGUGUCUGGAGUUCGAGCCUCCAAUGGCGUACCA